rnacentral:rRNA from 1 species
UAGGACCUACGGGAGGCAGCAGUGAGGAAUAUUGGUCAAUGGACGAGAGUCUGAACCAGCCAAGUAGCGUGAAGGAUGACUGCCCUAUGGGUUGUAAACUUCUUUUAUAUGGGAAUAGAACAGGGUAUGCAUACCCUCUUGUAUGUACCAUAUGAAUAAGGAUCGGCUAACUCCGUGCCAGCAGCCGCGGUAAUACGGAGGAUCCGAGCGUUAUCCGGAUUUAUUGGGUUUAAAGGGAGCGUAGAUGGGUUGUUAAGUCAGUUGUGAAAGUUUGCGGCUCAACCGUAAAAUUGCAAUUGAUACUG